rnacentral:rRNA from 1 species
UACGUAGGGUGCGAGCGUUGUCCGGAAUUAUUGGGCGUAAAGAGCUCGUAGGCGGUCGUUCAAGUCGCGUGUGAAAGCCCCCGGCUCAACUGGGGAGGGUCACGCGAUACUGAUCGACUCGAAGGCAGGAGAGGGUAGUGGAAUUCCCGGUGUAGUGGUGAAAUGCGUAGAUAUCGGGAGGAACACCAGUGGCGAAGGCGACUACCUGGCCUGUUCUUGACGCUGAGGCGCGAAAGCUAGGGGAGCAAACGGG